rnacentral:rRNA from 1 species
GGAAAACUUACCAGGUCCAGACAUAAUGAGGAUUGACAGAUUGAGAGCUCUUUCUUGAUUUUAUGGGUGGUGGUGCAUGGCCGUUCUUAGUUGGUGGAGUGAUUUGUCUGGUUAAUUCCGUUAACGAACGAGACCGCCGCCUGCUAAAUAGGUCCGUGAAUGAAUUUCAUUGACGAGAUCUUCUUAGAGGGACUUUUGGUGACUAACCAAAGGAAGUUGGGGGCAAUAA